AACGCAUAUAUGCUGGAAAUGCUUUUAUGCGUAAAAUGGAUUCGUCCGCCCAAGGAUGGGUCUUGCGGCCUAUCAGGUAGUAGUGGGUGUAAUGUACCUACUAGCCUACAACGGGUACGGGUUGUGAGAGCAAGAGCCCGGAGAUGGAUUCUGAGACAUGAAUCCAGGCCCUACGGGGCGCAGCAGGCGCGAAAACUUUACAAUGCGGGAAACCGUGAUAAGGGGACACCGAGUGCUAGCAUCAUAUGCUGGCUGUCCAGGUGUGUAAAAUACACCUGUUAGCAAGGGCCGGGCAAGACCGGUGCCAGCCGCCGCGGUAACACCGGCGGCCCGAGUGGUGAUCGUGAUUAUUGGGUCUAAAGGGUCCGUAGCCGGUUUGGUCAGUCCUCCGGGAAAUCUGAUAGCUCAACUAUUAGGCUUUCGGGGGAUACUGCCAGACUUGGAACCGGGAGAGGUAAGAGGUACUACAGGGGUAGGAGUGAAAUCUUGUAAUCCCUGUGGGACCACCUGUGGCGAAGGCGUCUUACCAGAACGGGUUCGACGGUGAGGGACGAAAGCUGGGGGCACGAACCGGAUUAGAUACCCGGGUAGUCCCAGCCGUAAACGAUGCUCGCUAGGUGUCAGGCAUGGCGCGACCGUGUCUGGUGCCGCAGGGAAGCCGUGAAGCGAGCCACCUGGGAAGUACGGCCGCAAGGCUGAAACUUAAAGGAAUUGGCGGGGGAGCACAACAACGGGUGGAGCCUGCGGUUUAAUUGGACUCAACGCCGGACAACUCACCGGGGACGACAGCAAUAUGUAGGUCAGGCUGAAGACCUUACCUGAAUCGCUGAGAGGAGGUGCAUGGCCGUCGCCAGUUCGUACUGUGAAGCAUCCUGUUAAGUCAGGCAACGAGCGAGACCCGUGCCCACUGUUACCAGCAUAUCCUCCGGGAUGAUGGGUACUCUGUGGGGACCGCCGGUGUUAAAUCGGAGGAAGGUGCGGGCCACGGUAGGUCAGUAUGCCCCGAAUUUCCCGGGCUACACGCGGGCUACAAUGAAUGGGACAAUGGGUCCCUCCCCUGAAAAGGGCUGGUAAUCUCACAAACCCAUCCUUAGUUCGGAUCGAGGGCUGUAACUCGCCCUCGUGAAGCUGGAAUCCGUAGUAAUC
rnacentral:rRNA from 1 species